rnacentral:lncRNA from 1 species
CCUCCCCUUUGUGUGUUUCAGUGCUUUGUAUGCUAUUGCAAAGAGAUAAUGGGUUUUCAGGAGUGGAUGUCAGAAUUGCAUUCAUAUGCUUGGCCAAAUGAUAGCUAAGUUCAAUAAAGCGGCAGACAUUUCAAAAACAAGAGCAACGGUCCUACCUUAAACGAAGGUCUCGCCCACGGGCCUCCUCGUGGUGCUUCUGCAAGUAAACGCCUCGUGCUGCCGGCCUGCUACACCUGCCGGGGAGGAGCCACCUCCCCACCCCCCAUGGAGCUUCCACAGAACGCAGCUGUUAACACCUAAUAAUUACCGUUUUGUGACUCCGGUACUGGGAGCGGCAGUGGCUGAUGCUGCUUUUGAGACCGCUCGUCAGUUAGGAAUCGCUGACCCCCCGCAGACAACGCAUUUAUUUAGGGACAUGGAAAGACUUCAAAUGAAAUUUCCCUUUUUGACUGGCACUGCAAUUCUCUGGAUUUAGGAUACCUCUGAAGGAAUGACGAAGUCUCUGUGUCUGAAAAACAUAAAUGGUGAACCUCCAGUGCACCCUAUUUCUUACUGUAGUGUUCAUGUGUUCCAGAAUUUUUCCUCUAUUGUCUUAAAACAUGAUGGCUUUUUUAUAUAAUUAGCCCAAGUUUCCAGAACUCUCACUUUUAUGGCUGAAAUACAUACCAUUCAGCUAUCUACCUGGACAAGAAAGUAGAGCUGUGCUUUUUUGGAAUGUCACUAAAUGUCCAAACAACAGAAUUAUUUGUUUGCAGUGAUCAGAUUAGAGCCUAACAUGCAUUUAGGUGUAACAGAUCUUUG